rnacentral:rRNA from 1 species
UACAGAGGUCUCAAGCGUUGUUCGGAUUCAUUGGGCGUAAAGGGUGUCGUAGGUGGCGCCGUAAGUCGGGUGUGAAAUUUCGGAGCUUAACUCCGAAACUGCAUUCGAUACUGGCGGUGCUUGAGGACUGGAGAGGAGACUGGAAUUCAUGGUGUAGCAGUGAAAUGCGUAGAGAUCAUGAGGAAGACCAGUGGCGAAGGCGGGGUCUCUGGACAGUUCCUGACACUGAGACACGAAGGCCAGGGGAGCAAACGGG